GAUAGGCCGGAUAUCUCACCAAAGAAAUCGAUUUCUUGCUCAUUCUCGUACCCACUUUUCACGUCAUACACAUGCACAAAGUCAGCAGGCUCAGCCAUGGCCAUGUACUUACCAUCAGAUGUGUAGCGAAUGGACCGUAUUGCUCCAAGGUUUCCCUUUAGAACAGCAAUUGACUUUGACAAGUUUCGAACAUCCCAAAUUCGGCAUGUUUUGUCUUGGUUCCCGGUUGCAAAAGUGACACCAUCAGGAUGCCAUGCUGACGCAAAUGAAAAGUCCAAGUGUCCACGCAAGGGCAUAACAGUCUGCAAUUAAUUUCAGUAUCAGCUGAUGCUUUGCAAUCUCCAAAAAUGUAAACAAUAUUGCAAAAGCAGGAUGACAAGUACCUUCCCUGUAUCAGAGUCUACCAACAUAAUAUCAGGGUUGUCUCCAACUAUUAUUAGAAGUUUCCCAUCAGGGCUCAGAGAAGUAUGCUGCAAAAGCAACAUUAUAAGCAUAGCUUUUAAGUAUUUCUCACCAUUUGCCUUUAUUGGAUUAACAGAAUCAGAAUUAAUAAUACACAAAAUAACAUUAGUGUAUGUUUACAGAUCUGAAACAAUGAAAUCCCAAUGUAUGUAACUUACAUUGACAGGCCAAAGAAAAUGAAAAUGCUUGGAAAGCUGAUAUUUCUCCAUAUCAAAAUCUCUGACUCCACAGUCAUUAUUUGAGGCCGUAAAGUGAACUGCACCACUGGUAAUUCAGGAACAAAGCAAAUUAGGUUCAGGUUGACUGAGAUCAAUGUCAACAGCAGAUCAGGAAAUAAGAAAUACCUUGGAGUGACAUAAAUCUCAACAGCAUUUGUAAUGGCAUUGUCAUCAUAAGUUGUCCUGGAGCAGAAGCUUAUUCCAGGUCGAUCUAAAUGCUACAUUACAGAUCAAAAUCGACUAAUUAAGUCUUAAAUAACUGGCAUCAGGAAAACAGCAACCAAGAGCAAAGGGGAAAAGAGAAACUAUCCAAAUACAUUUUUUUACCUGUCAUUCACAAAGUUUUAAGCAGUAAGUAGUUCAAAACAAGACAAACAAGUAGAUAAGGUUUGGAACAGAAUGAGCACAAAAUCAUUAGCUCUAAAAUGCAUAAUAGAACCUUCUACUCAGAUCCAUCUUACAGGAUCACAGAUAUGUCCAACAAUAGAUUGUCUAUAACAGUUAAGAUAUAAAUGUUAGGCUCCAAGUGACUUGCAAAAACUGAAAAGUAGCUAUAUUGCAUGGAAAAGCAGCUCCGCAAUCACUGCACAAAGGCUUAUCCCUCUUUCUGACCUCUUUUUUCUCAAUGAAGGAUUGAAGGGAAAAAAGUUGCUCUCCUUACCUUGCAUAUUAGUUCACCCUGGAAUCCUCCAGCAACUAGCAGCUUAUCCUUUACUGCAAGAGUACUGACUUGGGUUUGCGUAAAACCUUCCAUCAGACUUCCAGGAUGUUUCUAAAAGGGAAAAACACGCAAAUCAAUCUGAGGAAACAAUAUGGGGGGAUAACAAGAAAAGAGAAGGAAGAAGACCAACAAGUCAGAUAAAGUGCCAAAUCACUGCCAGAACACAGACCUCAGAUGGUGCCACAUGCCCAGAAACAUUAAGAAUUUCACGCUUCUUGUGUGUCAAUGAAGACCAAUGCAUGACAGAAAAUUGUGACAUGAGAUAAACAUCAUGUUUUGAUGUAGCCCAUACCAGGUUCCUCAACUGCAUCACCACAAAUUGAUAUGUCUAUCACUAACAAUAAUGAUCACACCACAGUCAAGCAGUAAACGAGGAAAGGACUGGCCGUAAAACUACAAGAUAUGAGAAAGAACUUUAACAAGAAAAAUAUAAAUCCUUCUAUGACAACUUUAACAAGAAAAAGAUAAAUCCUUCUAUGACAUCACAGGUCUUGAAUGAAAAUUCCCAUUCAGCUAACCUGAAAAUGAAGUAUUGUUGAUUUCACAGAUCUUGAAUUUAGCCUGAAGUCAUAGUAUGAGGCACCCUUCUUGGUAAUCUUGCAAUCCUACAUACAAUUUGAAAUUUCAAUUUAACAUAUUUUAGAAGGAAAGCGGGCAACUUUUAAGUACUCUUACCUUCCCUGACACUUCCCCAGAGUGGGGGAUAUUCUCAUAGUUCUUGUACUGUUCUAGCCUAGUUUGCCUGUAUUUUUCCCUAGUGAUGCUGAGCUGAUCCCAAGGUAUUCCCUGGAUGUCUUUUCCUCUUCUAGCUUCAGCAGCAGAAGUAUCAGAUAUUUUAUUAUUCUGCAAUACCGUCAACUUAUGUUAGGCUGGCUAGCAAUCCAUGAGAACUAGAACAGAAACUUUAAAUCUCAAAAAUUACACAUUAACUUCAAUCUAAUGUGCAAUUUGAUACAUAAACUUUGAUUUGAUGCAAUCAUACACAUGAAACUUUAAUUGUAGUUCAAAUGUAUACUUAAAACUUUGAUUUUGAUUCAACUGUACGCAUUUUAAAAAAUAAUUAUAUCAAUUUUAUUUAUUUAUUAGAUAAAGAUAAUUAUUUAUAUAUGCAAUAUAUAAUUGAAAGGUAGCUCUUUAUUUAUAAUUGUGUUAAUGAUUUGUGAAAAUUGAAUCAAAUGAAAAUUUCAAGUAUAAAAUUGCACAAAAUCAAAUUUUAUGUAUAACAUUGCACAUUUGUUCAAAGUUGAUGUAUAGUUUUGAGAUUUAUCCCAAUUUUUAAAAAUAAAAAAAACCCUUAUUUUACGUUUUCCUAAGUUAUGAAUGAAUUUAAUUUAAGUCCAAUUUGCAUCUUGUAAAUCAUCAAACAAACCGAGUAAUCAAAUUCAUCAACAUCAGACUCCGAGCCAGACAUAUCUCUGCCGCAGAACUCUUCAUCCAUGUCAUCUAUGUCCUCCAUGUCAUACUCUUCUGCCAUGUAUUCAGCAUCAUCUUCUUGGUAAUAGGACAUAUUCCACCAGACAAAACUACACCUGCACCAAUAUAGCUUCAAGCAUUAUGGUAACCCAACAAUUAUAAAAUAAAUACCCGUAGAGAAUCACACAACAUUUAAUUGGAAGAUACUCUUCCCAUUGAUUUCUAAGGAGUAAACUCUGUGCUACGUACACUGGUGAAGAGAUGAUCAAAAUUGAUCAGAUGACGACAUUUAAAAUCAUAGGAAAAAGCAACAUGGCAUGUACUGCCGCAACAACUGAUACAAGUUACAAUAUAAAAAAUGAUAUGUUUAAGACAAUAAAAUGGAUUAACAUUAAUUAUAAUUAAAUUAUCCAACAGUCUAAUUUAAGGAUAUCGUACAAGUGGUAGUAAAGGAUACUAAAACCUCAUUCUAGUCACAUUACAAAGAAAAUUAAACCUACUCUUAUACAUAGGAAUCCAGCUAAAGGAAAAAGAAAGGGAGAUGGAAACAAAUAUCUAAAAUAACAUGCCCAUAGAAUCACAAAUCCUUUAUAUUACUAACAGUUUUAUGCCAAUUCUCAACAUGUUCGAAAUACUUCCAUCAGCAUAUAGAUAAACUAAUUAAAGACUGAGAGUGCACAAGUCAAUGCCGCCAUAUGUAAUUUCGAGAAAUUAACUACAUUUUGAAGUUAUUUUUGCAACAUUUUCAAUUCAAUUAUGCCAUAAUCAUGUUAAGACAUAUAAGAGAUUUGCGUUUUUAUUCAAGCAUGAAAUAUCCGAAAAGCAAGAGUAAAACAACUUUGUCUCUAGAUUUGGGAGCUUUUUUUUUUUUCUUUCUAUUUUACAUUCCCAUUUGCGGAAUUAUUCAUCCUACUGGAUGUUGGGGGCCUAACAGAAAAGCCAAGUCUUCAUCAAAUUUAUAUACAUGAGAAUUAUGUGUCCAUGAAUGAAACACGCAAUUACCGGUAAAAAGAGGAAAAAAUGGCACAAAGAAGAACUGGGCUAGUAUGAACCCUAAUUGAAAUUCCAACCAAAAAUUAAUGUCCCGGAUCAUAACAAUCAUGCAACAACAGCAGGGAACAAUCAAUUGAGAAUAAUAAGUGUUAUCCAUAAACAAAAAAAUAAUUAAUUUCAAAGAAAGGGGGCAAACUCCAAAAUUGUUAUAGGAAAGUAAUUAACAUCCGCACGCACCUAUGAAGCGAUAAACAGAAAUGAUCACAUAAAGAAAACUGACUCGAGAUCGAAGAAUGCAAAAGCGAACAAGAAAAUAAAAAAUAAAAAGCGAGAGAAUUGACCAUGUAAGAGAUUCUUACGGGAAGGUGAUUACCGACGAUCUGCAGAUCAAAAUAUCUGUACUCAUAUAAAAGUAAUUACUAGGGCCUUCUUACAUUACACAAAUCCUUUUCGAUUUUUCUUACAUGAGAAGAUAAUGGUUAAAUUUCAGUUUCAAUCCUUUUAUUUUUACAUUUUUGAGAUAAUAUAAAAAUAGUAUAUUUUCGCUUAAAUUUGAAAUUUAAUUUCUAUACGUUAAUUUUGACUUAGUUUACUACCUCCAUUAGAUAGUCUAAAUGCUUUAUAUAUUCCAAAUGGACCUAAAUUUUUAAAUUCAAAAAGUAAAGAGAUUAAAUUCCUAAAAAUAGAAGUAUGGAGAUUAAAUUCUAAAUAUAUAAAGAGUAAAAGAACUUUGAGUUUAUUGUAACCUUUAAAUUUUUUACAUUAUAAUUUAAUCAAAAAAUAAUAAUUAAUCCAAUAUGGAGCAUGAGUGAAACCAUACUAGUUAACAUCAAAAUUACAUUUAUAUAUAUAUACACUUAACUAUACACCAACUCUGUUGAAAUUAACUAAAGUGAUUUCUUUUUUACAAAGUAAUAAAUCUAUACUUAGGAAUGACAACGGAGCGGGGCAAGUAGAUAUUGUUAAAUCCACUCUACUCCAUCACUCACCCCGCUUUACUAUAUAUUUAUAAUCUUGAAAACAUUACUAUAUCUAUGAAUGUUGGAUGCUUUCAUCCCCGUCCCACUUCAAUUUAAUUAUUGCUACUUUUAUUUAAUAUUUUUAAUCAUUUUAAGUUAAUUGUAAUGAUCCGAAAGUUAGGGGUAACGAAAAGUAUGGUUUCGGGACAUCAUUUCCGUAAAUCAGACUUGUAAAUAUUUUUAUUAAAUAUUUAUGGAGUUAUAUAAGAGGCGAAUCAAAUUUCAGUUAAGAAAUUUUAUCGAAUUAGCGCUUCAAAUAAAUAUAAGGACUAAAUUGCUUAAGUGUUAGAAGUUGAACUAUAAUGAAAUUAAGAAUUAAAUUAUGAUUGGGGGACUUAUUAAGUGAAUAAACCAUAAUUAUAUGUAUAGAUUUGUGUGGCCGAUAUAUAUGUAUUUUAUUUUUAAAAGCUUUAGUCAAAUUACGGUUUAAUUUAUAAAAUGAAAACAAAAUGAAAUUAAAAAGAAAUUGAUAAAAGCUUGUUGGAUUGAAAGAGAAAAUGUUCUUUCUCUUUUCACAUGCAAAUUUCGAAACCCCUUGGGAAGAAAGAAACUACGAACGGCUAAGGAAUUCAUUAUUCAAGCUCAAAAAUUGGUAUGCUAAAUUUAGUCAUUUCCUUGUAAUUUUUAUAUUUUCGAAAUCUCGGUACUUCGAGCUAGCUGACCUAUAUACUAUUUUUCAGUGCUACUUAAGAUUUUAGAUAUUAUCAUUAUUGAGUAGUUAAAGCUUUAGGGAUUAAUUUGAUAGAUUUUUAAGGUUAGAAGUGAAAAAGGACUAAAUUGUGAAGUUAAUUGUUGAUUUUAAAUAAUAGGGACCAAAUUAUGAAAAUUCAAAAUUAUGGGGUAGAAUUGAGAAAUAGGGAGCUAAAUUUGGAUUAGAGUGAAAUUGGUAUAAAAAUUUGAGGUUAAAUGUGGAAGUUAAGUUAGUUUCAGUUUUAGGGACUAAAUCAAACUUUAUGCAAAAAUAGUACAAAUUUUGUAAUUGAAUGUGAAUUAGGUUUUGUAUUGUUAAUUUAUUUUAAUCAUUUCAAUCCUUGGCUAACAUUGUUCCGGAAUCCUCGAAAAAGAAAGGAAAAGAUAAAGUCAACAACGAAUAGCUUGGAAUUUACGAUUUGUGUUUCUGUAAUCUAAACUAUUUAAAAACGUUACUUUUAUACAUUGUAUUAUUCGGUAAGUAUAUAUAUAAGAUGAGUUAUUCCUUUGAAAUAAUUUCAUGAGAUGUGAAUUUUGUGACACCCCAAACCUGACCAGAACGGAUCGACCUGAAUCUGAAGCGAUACAUUAGCCACCAAAGUGACUCUCCAGCACAAAACCACCCCAAAAGACACUCCAGCCUUAUAACACCUCAAUUCUAACUAAUAACUGUCUAAUCUUAUUUCGGAGGUGAUUUGUGAACCAUUUUAAAACUAUUUGUAAGAAUUUAACCUUAAGGGUAUUUUAGUCAUUUUACCACUUAAAACUAAACAAUCCCAUUUUAUUUUAUUUUAUUUUGUGAAAAGAAGCCUAACAAAAUUAAAUUUGCAUGAAAUAUUCGAGAGGUACAAAAAUUCCUCUCUUUAUCUGAAUUAAGGAGAUCUAACACUGCAUCUAGAGGGGUCUCAACCAGUUGUAAAUCAUCUUUCCUUUCAAAGGCCAAUUUGGCAAGAUAGUCAGCACAUUGAUUCUCCUCCCUGGGGAUAUAUCUUAAAAUCUACUGACUUUCUUAGGACAAAAUACAGUGUAUUCUUCUGAUCAGGGUAGAGUUUGAGAUCUUCGAAAUAUUGCCAUGAAUAGCUUUGACUACCUCUAAGCUAUCAAAAUGAAUAACCACAUUGCUAAGACCCCUACGUUGGAUAAGUUUUAAGCCAUCUAAAAUGCCCCAAAUUUUAGCGCAAAAAAUCGAGCAAUUCCCUAGCAAUCUAUUAUAACCAAUCAUCCAAUCACCAGUACCGUCCCCAUGCCACCCCUCCAGUAACUGCUCUUCUUGAUGUUACUUGAACAGCACCAUCGUAUUAAGAAAGGUCCAAUCCCUGGGUAAAGGCUCCUCAUGAGGUAAACAUAUGUUAUCAGUCGAACCAUCUCUAGGAGCCAAAGAAGAUUAUUUGGCCCAACACAUAGAAACUAUAAUGAUCUCACUAGAGUUCCAGGAUUUCCUUUGAAAGAUGAAAAGAUUUUGAUUCUUCCAUAAGCGCCAAGCUAAUAAUUCGAAGAGACAAGCCCGACUAAUUGAGAUAUUCUGAGCCGUUACUACAAAUCAAUCCUAUAAGUUUGUACGAUUAUUUAUACUUCUAACAAUUUUUAUAUUCUAUGUUGAUAUAAUUUUACUAAAUAUGAUUUUGUGUAAUAGCAUGAUCUUGAAAAAAAUGAGAUACUGAUUCUAUUGGAAGUAUGCUCAAUCUAACCAUACCCACUGGUUUUAUUGAAAGUAUGCUCAAUCGAGUCAUACCCAUUAAUUCUACUGAAAGUAUACUCAAACGAGCAAUAUCUAUUGAAUAUACUGAAUGUGAGAUUUUAAUAAAUGAAAAAAUUAGUGAUUAAAUCCCUUAUGCAAAAAUUCACUGUUAGCAUGGAAAUUAACCAAUCACUAUUGUCGCCUAUUUGUUAAUUUAGAUAAUUGGAUUUUUGCACGUUUAUUUUCUUAUUAGGAAUUGUAAGAAAUCAUUUCUUUACCAUUGUCGUAAUAAAUAGUUGCCUUAGUUGCUUAAUAGUUUUUCCCUUGCACGUCAUUUUGGUUCUUAGCAUUUUGAUUACUUUAUCUCCCUCGGGUUCGACGUUCGCUUGUUGACGGUCAAAUACCGAAGCAUUUUCCUACAAUCUUCCUUGUGUGCCUUUAUCAUCUCGUCAGUGUUUUCCUUGUGGUAUCUUCUCUCUCUCUCUCUCUCUCUCUCUCUCUCUCUCAAGUGCCUUUAACCUUGUGUGUGUGCUUUGGCAUUGACUAUCUUAAGUGCCUUUAUCCAUUAAGUGUUAUCCUUACGUUAUCUUCUGUCAAGUGCCUUUAACCUUGUGUGUGGUUUUUGGCAUUGACUAUAUCUUUUAUUAUUGCUCCUUGUUAAACUUCUCUCUCAAGUGCCUUUAAUCUUGUGUGUCUUUGGGUAUUGACUAUAUCCUUUUAUCAUUGUUGGUCGAGCUUAUUGUCCGGCAUCUAAGGCCGUAUGAAUAGCCGAGCUAAAGCUUCAACCCAUGACAACAGCUCGACACAUGACAGGUUGAGGUAAAUAAAAAUACUUCCUUUAAUUAUAUCACUAUUUUUUAUAAUAUUAGGGUAUACUAGUAUACGAAUCUUAGUUGAGUCAAAUCCACCGUUCAUAAAUUCAAUUUUAAAACCUGUAGUGUGUAGCUCCCCACCCAAGGAAACCAUACACGUCUUCCACUUUUGUUCAACUUAAGAACCUUAUCUAAUUCUACCCUUUCUCCCAUUAACAUCUUAUAUCAUCAGAAAACUAAAUUCUAAUUCAACAGCAAUCACCUAAAGUUACAGAUUUCAUUUCAUUUUACAUUUUACAUCUACAGUAAACCCUCUUCUACAACUUGAAAUGACACAAGUUCCUCAAAUAUCAUAAACUUAACCAACAUGCUUGUUUUGCCUGCAUCACGAUCAACUCACAUUAGGGAAUCAAGAUAUAAGUAGUUCCUCCGCCGGCCAUACUCAAGAAGGCUGCCAUAUGUACGAUCCCAUACGCCAAUAAAGAGAGACUCUGUGUCGGGACUAAAGGAUAGGCCGGAUAUCUCACCAAAGAAAUCGAUUUCUUGUUCAUUCUCGUACCCACUUUUCACGUCAUACACAUGCACAAAGUCAGCAGGCUCAGCCAUGGCCAUGUACUUACCAUCAGAUGUGUAGCGAAUGGACCGUAUUGCUCCAAGGUUCCCCUUGAGAACAGCAACUGACCUUGACAAGUUUCGAACAUCCCAAAUUCGGCAUGUUUUGUCUUGGUUCCCAGUUGCAAAAGUGACACCAUCAGGAUGCCAUGCCGACGCAAAUGAGAAGUCUAAGUGUCCAUGCAAGGGCAUA
rnacentral:lncRNA from 1 species